UUUGAAAAAAGCUGAAAACCUGUAACCAUUGACCUCCAUAGUAUUUGUUUUUCCUACUACUGAAUUAUGGUUAAAGGUUUCCAGCAUUCUUCAAAGUAUCUUCUUUUUUGUU
rnacentral:miRNA from 1 species